rnacentral:rRNA from 1 species
GAUGAACGCUGGCGGCGUGCUUAACACAUGCAAGUCGAACGGAAAGGCUCCUGCUUGCAGGGGUACUCGAGUGGCGAACGGGUGAGUAACACGUGGGUGAUCUGCCCUGCACUUCGGGAUAAGCCUGGGAAACUGGGUCUAAUACCGGAUAGGACCACAUUUUGGAUGGUGUGGUGGAAAGUUUUUCGGUGUGGGAUGAGCUCGCGGCCUAUCAGCUUGUUGGUGGGGUAAUGGCCUACCAAGGCGUCGACGGGUAGCCGGCCUGAGAGGGUGUACGGACACAGUGGGACUGAGAUACGGCCCAGACUCCUACGGGAGGCAGCAGUGGGGAAUAUUGCACAAUGGGCGCAAGCCUGAUGCAGCGACGCCGCGUGGGGGAUGACGGCCUUCGGGUUGUAAACUCCUUUCGCUAGGGACGAAGCGUUUUUGUGACGGUACCUGGAGAAGAAGCACCGGCUAACUACGUG